GUGCUCGCUUCAGCAGCACAUAUACUAAAACUGGAACGAUACACAGAAGAUUAGCAUGGCCCCUGUGCAAGAAUGAUACACAAAUUCCUAAAGCGUUCCAUAUUUUU
ensembl:snRNA U6 U6 spliceosomal RNA